UACGGAGGAUGCGAGCGUUAUCCGGAUUUAUUGGGUUUAAAGGGUGCGCAGGCGGAGGUGCAAGUCAGCGGUAAAAGCCCGGGGCUCAACCCCGGCGAGCCGUUGAAACUGGCGGGCUGGAGUUGGAGAAAAGUACGCGGAAUGCGCGGUGUAGCGGUGAAAUGCUUAGAUAUCGCGCAGAACCCCGAUUGCGAAGGCAGCAUGCCGGCUCCACACUGACGCUGAGGCACGAAAGCGUGGGUAUCGAACAGG
rnacentral:rRNA from 1 species